rnacentral:tRNA from 1 species
CCUUUUGUAGUUUAUAAAAAAUUUCACCCUUUCAAUGUGGAGAAGAAUUCUUCCAAAAGUU